AGUGAACGCUGGCGGUAGGCCUAACACAUGCAAGUCGAACGGCAGCACAGUAAGAGCUUGCUCUUACGGGUGGCGAGUGGCGGACGGGUGAGGCAUACAUCGGAAUCUACUUUUUCGUGGGGGAUAACGUAGGGAAACUUACGCUAAUACCGCAUACGACCUACGGGUGAAAGCAGGGGUUCUUCGGACCUUGCGCGAUUCAAUGAGCCGAUGUCGGAUUAGCUAGUUGGCGGGGUAAAGGCCCACCAAGGCGACGAUCCGUAGCUGGUCUGAGAGGAUGAUCAGCCACACUGGAACUGAGACACGGUCCAGACUCCUACGGGAGGCAGCAGUAGGGAAUAUUGGACAAUGGGCGCAAGCCUGAUCCAGCCAUACCGCGUGAGUGAAGAAGGCCUUCGGGUUGUAAAGCCCUGUUGUUGGGAAAGAAAAGCAGCAGGUUAAUACCCCGCUGUUCUGACGGUACCCAAAGAAUAAGCACCGGCUAACUUCGUG
rnacentral:rRNA from 1 species